rnacentral:lncRNA from 1 species
GAAGUAAGAGUGAAAAAAGACAGUGCUGCUAAAGGGUGUUGCAGUUUCAACUUUCCGUCUAGGAUAGACUCCAUCUCCACGUAAUAUUUCUGAACAGAGAAAGCUGGUAUAUUGUCACAAACUGAUUUAAUUCAUAUUUUGAAGCAACAUUACACUACAAAUACUCUUCACCUCCUUCAGACACACUUUGGUUUAUGGUCUGGGACUUAAACUGUCCCUUCUGUUGUAGCACACCCGUGUAAAGUACUGCCUUUGAUACCUUUAUGACAGUCACAGCAAAGUGGCACAAAAAAAAAAAAAAAAGGGCAAGGAUCAGAGAAAGUCCUCGUGUUUAGGCAAAAAAAAAAAAAAAAAAAAAAAAAAAAAAAAAAGAGAAGAAGAAAAGAUAAUGUUCCUUCAAAAAAUGUUCCUUGAUCAAAAGUUAAAGUUUUAUGCAGAUUGUUAUGAGGCCUGACGCUUGAAUUACCCAAGAUUUCUCGCUGUAACUUGUACUUUUUAUUUAUUUGCAGCAGUAUUUUAACUGAACUAUUUUUAAGUGUGCUAAGCCUCUCCAGAGCACAGUCCCUGCAGAGACUUACUGCUCCUUGGUGGUUACGGACCUGCAAUAACACACAGGGCACAGCAAUAUAUCUACAUGGUGAAGAUACUGCACGCUUGUACUGCAGGAAGAUUGUGCUUUGGCCAGAUGGGGACUUGCUGAAUUAACUGAAGGUAUCAGCAAGGGAACUGAAGUAUCUAAAAGAUGAAUAUGUGUACAUAUUUUACAGAAGGGACCAUGCAGCACAAACCACUGCUACACCUCAGCAGACAGUCUGUCAGGGGGGUAAAGGUAAAACAGGGAGUUGUCUAUGCCAUAGUCCAACAUGGCUGAUAAACACUCCAAACUUAAAACUGUCUCAUGGAAGAAAGUUUGUGCAGACAUGAAAAGUUGCCUUUCUAUUUUUAAAUAGCCCAUAUUGCCACGUAUUGGGCUCCACGUUUUGAGAAUUUGAGUUUUGAAAAUUUUC